CAUAUGAGAAAAGGUUGACGGAGCUGGCACUAUUUAGGUUGGAAAUGAGAAAUCUCAGCUGGAUCUUAUCCCAUGUACAAAUACUUGAUGGAAAGGAAUGAAGGAGAAGGAACCAGAUUCUGCUGCCUGACAGGAUGCAAGAGGACUCUUCAACUCAACUGUUUCAUCAUAACAGCCAUGUAAAAAUCCUUCCUGACUUCUUGGGAAAAUCUGUAUGUGGAUGUAAAGCACUUGGGGAAUAGACCCCACUGCAAGGAAGCCACAGUCUGCUGAAGACCUCAAAAUGUCUCUCUCAUUGGCAGCUGGUGCUCAGAUGACAUGCAGGCUCUUCUGUGACUCUCUGAUAUCCUGACUUCCUACCUACUAAAGGUCACAGAGUUCCCCUCCUUGACUCCAAUAUUGAAAUGAAUUCGUCCUUACUGCAAACUGCCUUUGUUUGGCC